AAAGGCAGUCUUUGUCCAUCUUUCCAUUGUUCCAACAAUCACCACUCUGGUUUGGCUGAAAUAAACCCUUAAUGGACCCAUUUAAAUGUGGAAAUAUUCUGACUCCAUACUCUAUA